rnacentral:rRNA from 1 species
CACGUAGGCACCAAGCGUUGUCCGGAUUUAUUGGGCGUAAAGAGCUCGUAGGCGGUUCGGUAAGUCGGGUGUGAAAACUCUGGGCUCAACCCAGAGCCGCCACCCGAUACUGCUGUGACUUGAGUUCGGUAGGGGAGCGGGGAAUUCCUGGUGUAGCGGUGAAAUGCGCAGAUAUCUGGAGGAACACCGGUGGCGAAGGCGGCAUCCUGGACCGACACUGACACUGAGGAGCGAAAGCCAGGGGAGCAAACGGG